AGAGUUUGAUCCUGGCUCAGGACGAACGCUGGCGGCGCGCCUAACACAUGCAAGUCGAACGAGCGAGAGAGAGCUUGCUUUCUUGAGCGAGUGGCGAACGGGUGAGUAACGCGUGAGGAACCUGCCUCAAAGAGGGGGACAACAGUUGGAAACGACUGCUAAUACCGCAUAAGCCCACGGCUCGGCAUCGAGCAGAGGGAAAAGGAGCAAUCCGCUUUGAGAUGGCCUCGCGUCCGAUUAGCUAGUUGGUGAGGUAACGGCCCACCAAGGCGACGAUCGGUAGCCGGACUGAGAGGUUGAACGGCCACAUUGGGACUGAGACACGGCCCAGACUCCUACGGGAGGCAGCAGUGGGGAAUAUUGCACAAUGGGGGAAACCCUGAUGCAGCGACGCCGCGUGGAGGAAGAAGGUCUUCGGAUUGUAAACUCCUGUUGUUGAGGAAGAUAAUGACGGUACUCAACAAGGAAGUGACGGCUAACUACGUGCCAGCAGCCGCGGUAAAACGUAGGUCACAAGCGUUGUCCGGAAUUACUGGGUGUAAAGGGAGCGCAGGCGGGAAGACAAGUUGGAAGUGAAAUCCAUGGGCUCAACCCAUGAACUGCUUUCAAAACUGUUUUUCUUGAGUAGUGCAGAGGUAGGCGGAAUUCCCGGUGUAGCGGUGGAAUGCGUAGAUAUCGGGAGGAACACCACUGGCGAAGGCGGCCUACUGGGCACCAACUGACGCUGAGGCUCGAAAGUGUGGGUAGCAAACAGGAUUAGAUACCCUGGUAGUCCACACUGUAAACGAUGAUUACUAGGUGUUGGAGGAUUGACCCCUUCAGUGCCGCAGUUAACACAAUAAGUAAUCCACCUGGGGAGUACGACCGCAAGGUUGAAACUCAAAGGAAUUGACGGGGGCCCGCACAAGCAGUGGAGUAUGUGGUUUAAUUCGACGCAACGCGAAGAACCUUACCAAGUCUUGACAUCCCUUGACGAUGCUGGAAACAGUAUUUCUCUUCGGAGCAAGGAGACAGGUGGUGCAUGGUUGUCGUCAGCUCGUGUCGUGAGAUGUUGGGUUAAGUCCCGCAACGAGCGCAACCCUUAUGGUCAGUUACUACGCAAGGGGACUCUGGCCAGACUGCCGUUGACAAAACGGAGGAAGGUGGGGAUGACGUCAAAUCACCAUGCCCUUUAUGACUUGGGCUACACACGUACUACAAUGGCGUUAAACAAAGAGAAGCAAGACCGCGAGGUGGAGCAAAACUCAGAAACAACGUCCCAGUUCGGACUGCAGGCUGCAACUCGCCUGCACGAAGUCGGAAUUGCUAGUAAUCGCAGAUCAGCAUGCUGCGGUGAAUACGUUCCCGGGCCUUGUACACACCGCCCGUCACACCAUGAGAGCCGGGGGGACCCGAAGUCGGUAGUCU
rnacentral:rRNA from 1 species